GUAGUAUUCCCUCCGUCCCAAAAUUCUUGUCUUACAUUUGUUUAGAUAUAGAUGUAUCUAACACUAAAAUGUAACUAGAUACAUCCGUAUUUAGACAAAUUUAAGACAAGAAUUUUGGGACAGAGGGAGUACAAA
rfam:Triticum aestivum genome assembly, contig: Triticum_aestivum_CS42_TGACv1_scaffold_640818_T_3B-0.169335_2BL-0.120279